rnacentral:rRNA from 1 species
AGGGCACCACCAGGAGUGGAGCCUGCGGCUUAAUUUGACUCAACACGGGGAAACUCACCAGGUCCAGACACAAUAAGGAUUGACAGAUUGAGAGCUCUUUCUUGAUUUUGUGGGUGGUGGUGCAUGGCCGUUCUUAGUUGGUGGAGUGAUUUGUCUGCUUAAUUGCGAUAACGAACGAGACCUUAACCUCUAAAUAGCGCCGCUAGCCUUGUGCUGGCGCGCGCUUCUUAGGGGGACUAUUGACUUGAAGUCGAUGGAAGUUUGAGGCA